AGCGAACGCUGGCGGCAGGCCUAACACAUGCAAGUCGAACGAACUCUUCGGAGUUAGUGGCGGACGGGUGAGUAACACGUGGGAACGUGCCUUUAGGUUCGGAAUAACUCAGGGAAACUUGUGCUAAUACCGAAUGUGCCCUUCGGGGGAAAGAUUUAUCGCCUUUAGAGCGGCCCGCGUCUGAUUAGCUAGUUGGUGAGGUAAAGGCUCACCAAGGCGACGAUCAGUAGCUGGUCUGAGAGGAUGAUCAGCCACAUUGGGACUGAGACACGGCCCAAACUCCUAUGGGAGGCAGCAGUGGGGAAUCUUGCGCAAUGGGCGAAAGCCUGACGCAGCCAUGCCGCGUGAAUGAUGAAGGUCUUAGGAUUGUAAAAUUCUUUCACCGGGGACGAUAAUGACGGUACCCGGAGAAGAAGCCCCGGCUAACUUCGUG
rnacentral:rRNA from 1 species